CCCCUAGAUGUUCUGGGCCGCACGCGCGCUACACUGAACAGUUCAACAAGUCUUAACCUUGGCCGAUAGGUCUGGGUAAUCUUUGAACGCUGUUCGUGAUUGGGAUAGACCUUUGCAAUUAUGGGUCUUCAACGAGGAAUUCCUAGUAAACGCAAGUCAUCAGCUUGCAUUGAUUACGUCCCUGCCCUUUGUACACACCGCCCGUCGCACCUACCGAUUGAACGGUCCGGUGAAAUCUUGGGAUUUGCAUGUUGUUGAUUGAUUUCAUGGCGUGCGAAGAACUUGAGUAAACCUUACCGUUUAGAGGAAGGUGAAGUCGUAACA
rnacentral:rRNA from 1 species